rnacentral:lncRNA from 1 species
CGAUACAAUUAUUCAUUUAAGUCAGAGAAUAAUUGUUGUUCUGUUUACAUGAAUAAAACCUUCUAUGGUCAUACACCCAAGGUAAGUGGUUUAUUGAAUCUCGAUCGUAGUGAUACACAUAUUCAUAAUAUUGAUGCCAAAAGAUGCAAAGUUUUUUUUUGAGAAUCACCGGGGGAGGAGUCCCUCCACCUGAAUAUAUUGCUCAAAGUGGCCAUAAUGCCAGGAGAGUGAUCCAGUUUAUAAGGAAAACCAGAUCGAAAACCUUAACAAAUUGACCCCAUUUAUGAGGAAAACCGAGCCGAAAACCAGACAAGUAACAAGUGUUACAAGGAAAGGAGAGGAACAGGACGCCCAACAUAAGGCAAGACCUAGCUAGCAUACUAACAGGACCAGGUAGAUGAGGGGUGCGUCGAGGGAUCACAUUACCAAGACUCUACAGACAGGCUAACGCACUACACCGGCAUGCGUAUCAAACCCCACGGCACAACAGAGGAGCAUCCACAAUCAACGAGUGCCAAAGCUUAACACAAACCUUGUGCCAAAGCUUAACACGAACCUUGACUGAGCUCUCCGCCAUGGAAGUUCAAGACGAUUAGCAAGUCGGGGAGGUGUCAUUGCGUCGUCAUUGAGCAAAGGUGAACCAAGAUGAGACCAAGAGCCCGAGGCUCGCCUCAACAGAACAGGGUCAUGAGCAUGCAUAGAAGCAGGCCGGAGACCACACGUAGGACAACCGAAGAGAAACACCUGAAGAAGAACACACCACCCUCGGUCCUAAGCAGGCCGCACCAUGUCACGACCGGUUUUCCAAUAAAAAUGUUUAUUGAGAAACCGAUCCCUUUUACGGACCAGUAGAGAAGAAUCCUCCUCACUGGUAGACAAUCUCUUGAUCACAGAAGAAAAACCAGGAGUACUAAAUAUAAUACAAGGUUGAGCGGAGACGGCUCAACAAUUUAUUACAAGCACGCCGAUAAUACAUAAAGGCGGAUAGGGUGGCAUAACUACUGACUCACAAGAAAAGCGGUGGUGGGUAUAUCACAGUGAAGUGGGUGACAUGACUCCUGAAUCUAACAGCUCUUCGAGCGUCGGAGUGAGGCUCGAGGAUUCUUAUUGUGGGUGGCGGAAGCGUAUAUAAUACAAGUGACCAAUAUCCAGGAUCACACGGGACUGACUGGGACUCCUCUAGGCGUCGGACUCACUAUCAAACUCUUCAUCCAUGAGAUCGCCUUCGUCAACAUCUGGCCAAAUCAACAAGCCAGGUGAGUACUAUGAAAGUACUCGCAAGACAGUUCGGACAUAAGAUAUAACAAAUGUAAACAUGAUGCAUAUGAACCGAUUAAUAAAGCGUACUCAGACAAUGAGAUAGUAGUGCAUGGAAAAUAAAAGGGGAGUCGGGCGGUAGUCCUCCCGAAAUCCCAAUGUAGUACUGAAAGCCAAUCGAGUGUCUGAAUGACCCCUCGAAAGGAUACAAAUGAAAUAACAAUGCCGCAGUCGGGCGUCAAGGCGACACCACAUAAAGGGCUUAUAAUGGAAUAAAAAAGGCAGUGCAUGCCACAGUCGGACGUCUAAGCGACAUCACGUAAAGGGCUUAUAUCAAAUGUAAAUAACGAGCGUGCCACAGUCGGACGUCUGAGCGACAUCACAUAAAGGGCUUAUAUUUCAUAACUUAAUAUUUCAGUAGCUCAUGAAUUUAAAUCAUUUCAAGGGAAUAUUCAGGCGAGAUAAAUAAAAGGGUUAGUCCAUCCACAGGAAUAACAAUUUUAACCGGGUUUACCACUCAAGCUUGUUCACCGGGGAUUUACCACGGAGACUUACAUAGGGACUGACAUGGAUAUGGAUAUACUGGCCAUGGUCCUUGACCAUGGACACAUUGACUCGGAAGGUUUUGACUCUGCAGAGUUUGUACUAUUUAACCACAGCCAACGGAUUUCAGUAGUCACAAGGGACUAGUUCCGUUUACGGUGUUUUAGGAGAAACACAUCUAACCAGUACACACCCAUUCAACAUUCCGAUGCCAGGAAUCACCCUCGGCAACGUUCAAGAAAAACUUUGAGACGGGGAGGCUACAACCUCGCGUAGCAUGGGAUCAAAUUUAUACCGCGCGCUCUAAGGGGUGCCCCCCUCUCGGUCCCAACCGGAAACACCCAUGCUCCCUGACCGGAUGACUGGCUUUAAUCCAGGGCCAUGGAACCCUCAUCCCGGCCCCUCUAUUUGGUGUGUACAAGGAAAGAGGUUAGCAACUUACUAAACCGUAUUCUUUGCAGAAAACAUGUGGCAGCACGAAAGGGGAAGAACGGUAACAUGGCUCAGCCCAUGUUAAUGUCGGAGUUUAUCGGAUGACGUAAGACUAGCAUGCUACAACAAUACCAUCUUACUACCUUUCAUGUCACCACAUGAUCAGGUCAUCUCUCAUCAAAGAUUACAGUAACUUCGAAACACACGGUUAGUUGCCUUGCAUGCAACGAAAUACGCACCGAUGCUCACAUGCCAUGCACAAACCAUUCAAGCAAACAUGCAAAACACCUAUCAUAUCAAAGGUUCAAACAUGCUUUCCUGGUUCGGAGAAGUCGAAGUCUAGCUCGGCAAAUUUCGCGGCUCCGUCACCUCCUCCGGAACCUACGGUAUAACGAAACCGUAUACUAACGUGAAAAUCGUUGCGUGGAUAAAAAUUGUUUCAAAAAAUUUCCGAAUAAAUACUAUAAAAAACUAGACAAAAAUAUAAGACUGACAAAAAAGAAUCAAUCAAAAAUCAUCUUUUAUUAAAAAGAUAUAAGGGUUUUAGCCCAAGGACUGAUCUGUGAUGAAACAGAAGAGAUCCGGGGACUUGUUUGAGAAAACAGAAAACGGUUCGGUAGGAAAUACGUUACCCCAAGGAGAAAACACAUUUUGCCCGGAGGCGCUUUCAGAAAACGGUUCGAGGGAGAAAGGAGAGAGGCUGACGGGGGGGUCCCACCCGUCAGGUUUAAAACUCCCAACGGAGCUCGCCGGCGCCCGAAGGCUGCGGUGGUCGCCGGCGUUGAACCACGGCGAGGCAGAGAGAUCGGAGGGUACCAACAGGUUCAGGGUGUUCUUCCGCGUCGGUGGGUGGUGGACUUGGCCGUCGGAGAGCACCACGUCGACGGCGACACUAUCUCCGGCGGACGGUGGUUCGGGCGAUGGUGGAGUACUCCGGUGGGUGCUGCAAACUCCAAAUUAAUGCGCGGGUCAGAAGAGUGUAUGCACUAGGAGACUACUGGCAUGAGCUGAGAGGUAGGGGUGCACGCACGUGGGUGAAUCGAGCUGGGUCCCGAAGCGGGUCGAGGCGGCCGGAGUUGGGGAAGAGGACUCCCUCGGGGCUCUUCCAGUGGCUUGGCGUGGUACUGGUGGUGUGUAGAGGUGGUGCGGGUUCGAGUUCGAGCUCGGGACCUCCUUUUAUAGGCGAUCCGAGGGGGUGGCCGUGAACGGGAUAGCUCCGGCGAGCAAUUACGGCGAGGCAGAGGUUGGGCAGGGGGUUUAUGAGGCUAGGCACCAUCAAGGAGGAUCACUGGCGCCGUUUCUCUGCUCAAAACUCGGUCGGGCUUGCGUAAUGCACUGGCCCUCAGGGAGCGCGCUCCGCGCCUACCAGUUCACGACGACGGGCUGCAGCGUGCACGGGUGAGUGGAUGGCCACGCGGUGGCCUCUAGUGGCUUGGGCAGCGCUGGACGGCGCCGUCCAACGCUGCGCCUCCUUGGCAGCCGCAAAGGGCGCUGCUGCCGUCGCUCACGGGGUGGCGCACCUCCACCAGCUCGUCGCCGACGCCCGCAAGCUUCCAGGCGAUCGUGCGGCGCAUGGAUAAGAAGGAAGCACAGGGCGCACGGCGCCACCGCGGCUACUGGCGAGAUCGAGAAGAGGUUCUGAAGAAAACGACAGUGGCUCACUGAAACUGUAUCUCUGAAUUUCUGAACUUGACAGUAACAGUGCCCUUCAGGUGUUCGACGAAAUGAUUUGGCAUGAAGAAAAAAAAUUCUGGAGCUAGUACUUGGUGAGGUGACCUCUCAAUGCAUCCAGAGGCUGCCUGAAUUUUCUCAGAUUUUUAGGAGGAGAAAACAAUUGAAUUUCAUCAAAUUUGGCAAAUAUGGUCCAAACUUGCAGCAAGCACAAUUUGAAAUUUUUGAACUGGAGACCAGUGGAUCAUCAUGGAUCUUGGUUGAGGGCUCUAAGGACUAGCCAGGGAAAUUUGUUUGGAGGCCAAACUCAAAGUACAAAUGGUAGUCCCUUUGUAAAUCUCCAAGAGCUAAAGUAGAAGGCAGAAAAUAUUUUUGAUAAGAAAUAAAUGGAAGAAAAUUCAUGGGGAGGUUCAACUUGCUAGAUUUGAAGUAUAUCUUGACACAAAGAUGGGGAGUGGCUUUUGGGAGGGGAUUUCCACUCAUGUCAUGGCAAGAGGAGUUUUUGAAAGGGAAAAGGAUCACUCCAAAUGCCAUAGGCUAUUUUAAAAAGAUUUUCAAAAACUUUCCCCAAAUGAAAAACUUUUGUGUUGAGUCCACAUAAGAUGGAAAAACCUCCAAGACCAAAAAUCAAGUCUUGGGUGAAUCCAAACAAAAUACUUGUCAUAAAAGGAAAUCUUUGAGAGGGAGAGUUCUUAAAAAAAUUAAAUACCCUCCUUCAAAUCAAAUAAAGAUUUUGAUAAAACCAAAAAUAAAAUUUUUGGGUGUCACAACACCUACCCCCUUAGGAAAAAUCUCGUCCCCCCGAUUUCAGCUGAUCCUCAAAUAGAUGUGGGUACUCUGCCUGAAGAAAAUCUUCUCUUUCCCAUGUAGCUUCAUCCUCGGUGUGAUUGCUCCACUGAACCUUGAAAAAUUUAGUGGUUUUCUGAUGGGUCCUCCUUUCAGACUCUUCCAAUAUCUUUACUGGCCGCUCUCUGUAGGUGAGGUCUGGUUGCACAUCAAUGCUCUCAUGAGAUACAUGCUUCUCCGGGUUGCUCACACAUUUCCUCAAUUGUGAGACGUGGAACACGUCGUGGACGUCUGACAGCUCUUUGGGUAGGUCUAGCUGGUAGGCUACUGUGCCUCUUCGUGCAACUAUGCAGAAGGGUCCAAUAAAUCUCGGGGCUAGCUUCCCUUUAAUUUUGAACCGUUGCAGGCCCCUCAUAGGAGACACUCGUAGGUAUACAUAUUCACCGGGUUCAAAGCUGACCUCAUGAUGUUUUCGAUCGUAAUAGCUCUUUUGUCGGCUUUGAGCUAUCUUGAGUCUGUCCCUGAUCUGUUUAACUUUCUCCUCGGCUUCCUUGAGCAUGUCUGGGCCGAAGAUACGACUCUCACCUGUCUCUGACCAAUUUAAUGGGGUACGACACCUCCGUCCGUACAAUGCUUCAAAAGGUGCCAUUUGUAAGCUGGCCUGGUAACUGUUGUUGUAUGCGAACUCGGCAUACGGCAAACUUUCUUCCCAACUGGAUCCAUAGGUGAGCACACAGGCUCUCAGCAUGUCCUCUAGGAUUUGGUUCAUGCGUUCAGUUUGUCCAUCAGUCGGGGGUAGUAUGCUGUACUGAAUGCUAGUUGCGUGCCCAGAGCUUGUUGUAAGUGAUCCCAAAAUUUAGAGACAAAUUGAGUGCCUCGGUCGAAUAUUAUAGUCUUUGGGAUUCCAUGCAGACAAACUAUACGGGAGAGAUAAAGCUUAGCAAGCCUUUGAGUGGAGUAGGUCGUCUUCACGGGAAUGAAAUGUGCUACCUUGGUUAGCCUAUCUGUGAUGACCCAUAUGGCGUCAUUUCCGCGUUGUGAUCAAGGUAGUCCGACAAUGAAGUCCAUUCCAAUUUCAUCCCAUUUCCACUCAGGUAUCCGGUUUGGCUGUAGUAGCCCUGCUGGCUUUUGAUGCUCGGCUUUAAUGCGCUGACAUGAAUGGCAACAAGCAAUGAAUGCGGCUAUAUCCCUUUUCAUACCGUGCCACCAAAAUCUUUCCUGAAUGUCUUUGUACAUUUUGGUUCCUCCAGGGUGGAUCAAGUAUGGGGCGGUGUGGCUUUCGGUUAGGAUUUGAUGCUUGAGUUCCUCAAUGUUUGGUACGCAAAGCCUGUCCCCGUACCAUAAUAUUCCCUCAUUGUCUGUGACGAACUCUGAAGCUUUGCCAAGGCUCAUUUUUUUCUUUAUACCUUCGAUGCUGGGAUGUCCCUGCUGAGCCUUCUUAAUUUGUUCCAUUAGGGUGGGUUGUAUCACCAGAUUUGAUACGUUGCCCUCAGAGACUAAUACCAUGUUGAGCUUAGCGAACUCCUGCUGAAAUUCAGGCCUCAAGUUGUAUGGACUGUCGUUGCCCGAGCUGGGGUUUCGACUAAGAGCAUCUGCCACUACAUUUGCUUUCCCUGGAUGGUAGCGAAUGCCGACAUCAUAGUCCUUGACCAAUUCCAACCAGCGUCGUUGUCGUAAAUUUAGCUCUAGUUGUGUGAAAAUAUAUUUAAGGCUCUUAUGGUCCGUAUAUAUUUCACAACGAUUUCCCAACAGAAAGUGCCUCCACUCUUUGAGUGCAUGGAUGACUGCUGCUAGCUCUAAGUCAUGAGUAGGAUAAUUUUCCUCAUGCUUCCGUAGUUGCCUGGAAGCAUACGCGACAACUUUGCCGCCCUGCAUCAAUACGCACCCGAGGCCCUUCCGGGAUGCGUCACAGUACACUUCAAAACUCUUGUGUAUGUCUGGCACAAUCAAAACCGGUGUUGUUGUUAGUUUCUUUUUGAGUUCUUGGAAGCUUUUCUCGCAUGCUUCCGUCCAUACAAAUUUCUUGUCUUUCUUGAGCAGCUGUGUCAUUGGUUUUGCCAUAGUGGAGAAUCCUUCAAUAAAUCGUCGGUAAUAUCCAGCCAUUCCUAGGAAACUCCGUACAUCAGUUACGUUGGCUGGUGGUUUCCAGUCAAGUAUGGCUUUGACUUUUUCUGGGUCUACGGCCACGCCUUCUUGGGUCAAUAUAUGGCCUAGAAAACCAACUUGUCUUAGCCAAAAUUCACACUUGCUAAAUUUGGCGUACAAUUGAUGUUUCCUUAAUUCUCCCAAUACAAUUUUGAGAUGUUCAGCAUGUUCUUCUGGUGUCCUUGAGUAUACCAGAAUAUCAUCAAUGAACACCACAACAAAUUUGUCCAUAAAUUUCAUAAACACUUUGUUCAUGAGGUGGACGAAAUAUGCGGGGGCGUUCGUCAGUCCAAACGGCAUUACUGUGAACUCAUAUAUCCGUAUCUGGAGGUGAAUGCUAUCUUAGGGAUAUCUUCUGUCCGUACUUUUAAUUGAUGAUAUCCCGAUCUUAAAUCAAUUUUUGAGAACACCUUGGCUUGUGCGAGCUGGUCAAACAAAUCGUUUAUCCGUGGCAUCGGAUAUUUGUUUUUGAUGGUGACCAUAUUGAGAGCUCGAUAGUCAAUACACAAUCUCAGUGUCCCAUCCUUUUUCUUGGCGAAUAAUACUGGUGAACCCCAUGGUGAGGAGCUGGCCCGAAUAAAUCCUUUGUCCAGUAAUUCCUUUGUUUGCUUCUUCAAUUCUACCAACUCUGAGGGUGCCAUUCUAUAAGGUUUCUUAUAGAUGGGGGUGGUGCCAGGUGCUAGUUCAAUGCUAAACUCUAUCUCUCGGUCUGGUGGCAUGCCUGGUAGUUCUUCAGGAAAUACGUCGGGAAACUCGCACACCACUGGAACUUUUCUCAAUUCGGAAAUGUCCACUUUAUUCAACUUUGGUUGCCGUAACCGUGGUCUCUCUUGAGCUGUAACCUUUAUUGUCUUGCCGACAUGGUGAGUGAGGUUUACAGUCCGAUUGAAACAGUCAAUAAAUCCCUUGUUGGUGGUCAACCAGUCCAUCCCUAGGAUAACAUCCAGUCCAUUAUUUUCCAACACGAUGAGAUUAGCCUAAAACCUUAGUCCUUCGAAUUCAAUAAUCACUCCUUGGCAGUAACUCUGAGUGAUCUGCUUAUUCCAGGGGGACUUGAUGAUCAUAGAUUUUUCCAAAGGAAGUAUCGGAAAACCAUGUUGCAAAACAAAACUCUUCGAAAUGAACGAGUGAGAAGCUCCAGAAUCAAACAAAACCGUGGCAGGUAUUGUGUUGACAGGGAACGUACCGAGUACGAUGUCUGGGGCAUUCUGUGCUUCUUCCUUGGUCACAUGGUUCAGGUGACCCUUCCUGUGAUUGUUGUUGGGAUUGAAAUUGUUACGCUUGGGGGCUGGAUUGUUCCCACCAUUGUUCGGCUUGGGGGCCGAGUUCCUUGGUUUUGGGCACUGUUUGGCAUAGUGCCCUUCCUCUCCACAAGCAUAGCAAGUGACCCCUGGACGGUAUGUAAAGUCCUUGUCCCUUGAAUGAAAUUGUCUGGUUGGCCUUAGAGCAGUAGUCGUGGGUUUUCUCGCUUCAUUCCUCUGAACAUCAGUCUUGCUUCGGUUGUUGCGAGAAAGAGUCGUCUUGUCCCUUUUUCGCUUACGAAUAUCCUCUAGACUGCGGCGCUCAUUCUCCAACGUAAUGGCCUUGUCAACCAGGGUCUUGAAAUCUGGGAAAGCGUGUACGACCAGUUGGCAUUUUAGUGCUGGCGCCAGGCCGUCCAAAUUUUUUUCCAUCCUUUUGUUCUCAGUCAUAUGCUCAUCGUAGGCGUAACGAGAUAGCUGGGUAAACUGACUGUUGUAUUCCGUCACUGUCAUGCCUCUCUGCUUGAGGUCAUCAAAUUCUCUUUUCUUGAUUUUUAUGAUGCUCCUGGGGAUGUGUGCCCCACGAAAGCCUUCCUUAACCUCUUCCCAGGUGAUGUUGUGUUCACUGGGAUGCAUGUGUAGGAAGUUUUCCCACCAUGCUGCAGCUGCUCCAGUGAGGUAGUGAGGUGCAUAAAGCACCUUCUCAUGAUCAGAACAUUGAGCAAUAAUCAACUUUCUUUCGAUGUCUCGAAGCCAAUCAUCGGCUUCAAGUGGCCUAUAAGUGUGAGCAAACGUUGGAGGGCGUGUCUUCUGUAGUUCAGACAACUUGGAGUGUGGUUGGUAUGGCUCACGGUGAUUUCCCAUAUUGAUGACGUGAUUCAUCAUUUCUUGGUGUUGCUGUUGGCUUUGUUCGAAAAGGCGACAUACUUGAGAUAAGGCUGCCUCGUUGUCCUGUUGACUAGACUGCCCCUGUGUGAAGUUGUUGCUUGUCUGCGUUCCAUAAACUUCUUCGGGUGGAUUUGGCAUGGAACGAGUCCACGGACGAGACAUUUUCCACUCUGGGGUAUUAUUUGCAAAACUCAUGAGAAGAACUGUGUGGCACAAGGAAAAUUUUGGAAAAGCAAAAACUUAAAAGACCUCAAGACUUUUCAAGAAAAUAUUUGAUUGCGCACGGAGAAGGACUGCUUAGCACAAAUUUUACAUGCGAUACGCAAACAUACGAUACAUCACUCAGGAUGUGCGUACACACUCCUGACAUGUUAUUAGGCUAGCACACUCCUCCGGGACCCUACAUGAUGCGCACACAACAACCACAAACUUAAGUACAUAUAAAACAUAUCAUACAAGCAGGCACAUCGCAUGGCUACUAGGCGCACUCAGUGGGAGAUGGUGAGGAUGUCCUUCCCCCUGCCGAGGGUAAGACCCAGUGGUGCAGGAGACUCAACCUCCACCUCCUCCCUAAUAGGCUCCAGGCGCGCAGCACUGCGCUGAGGGGAUGGCGCGGGUGCGACAGGCGGUAGUGUGGGUGCGGCAGGCGGUAGUGUGGGUGCGAGGUGACAAUGUGUGUUGGAAGUGAUUCCAAAGUUGAUGAGAUCAUUGCACACUCCCUCUACCUUCGGGAUUAGUGUUGGACCUAAAUAAAUGUUAUUUGGUGUUUGCAUUGAGCAUGAAUAUGAUUGGAUCAUGUUUGUUGCGAUACAAUUAUUCAUUUAAGUCAGAGAAUAAUUGUUGUUCUGUUUACAUGAAUAAAACCUUCUAUGUUCAUACACCCAAUGUAAAUGGUUUAUUGAAUCUCGAUCGUAGUGAUACACAUAUUCAUAAUAUUGAUGCCAAAAGAUGCAAAGUUUUUUUUUGAGAAUCACCGGGGGAGGAGUCCCUCCACCUAAAUAUAUUGCUCAAAGUGGCCAUAAUGCCAGGAGAGUGAUCCAGUUUAUAAGGAAAACCAGAUCGAAAACCUUAACAAAUUGACCCCAUUUAUGAGGAAAACCGAGCCGAAAACCAGACAAGUAACAAGUGUUACAAGGAAAGGAGAGGAACAGGACGCCCAACAUAAGGCAAGACCUAGCUAGCAUACUAACAGGACCAGGUAGAUGAGGGGUGCGUCGAGGGAUCACAUUACCAAGACUCUACA